AGUGAACGCUGGCGGUAGGCCUAACACAUGCAAGUCGAACGGCAGCACAGUAAGAGCUUGCUCUUACGGGUGGCGAGUGGCGGACGGGUGAGGAAUACAUCGGAAUCUACUUUUUCGUGGGGGAUAACGUAGGGAAACUUACGCUAAUACCGCAUACGACCUACGGGUGAAAGCAGGGGAUCUUCGGACCUUGCGCGAUUGAAUGAGCCGAUGUCGGAUUAGCUAGUUGGCGGGGUAAAGGCCCACCAAGGCGACGAUCCGUAGCUGGUCUGAGAGGAUGAUCAGACACACUGGAACUGAGACACGGUCCAGACUCCUACGGGAAGCAGCAGUGGGGAAUAUUGGACGAUGGGCGCAAGCCUGAUCCAGCCAUGCCGCGUGGGUGAAGAAGGCCUUCGGGUUGUGAAGCCCUUUUGUUAGGAAAGAAAAACAGCAGGUUAAUACCCCGCUGUUAUGACGGUACCCGAAGAAUAAGCACCGGCUAACUUCGUG
rnacentral:rRNA from 1 species